rnacentral:tRNA from 1 species
GGGGGUGUAGCUUAGUGGUAGGGUGCCUGCUUAGCAUGCACGAGGUCCUGAGUUCAAGCCCCACUACCUCCA